UAACUGGAGGGAUUUCUCCUAUCCUUGCC
rnacentral:sRNA from 1 species